AACGGCCAUACCAUGCUGAAUAUACCGGUUCUCGUUAGAUCACCGAAGUCAAGCAUCAUUGGGCGUGGUCGGUACCUGGUGGGUGACCGCCUGGGAACACCGCGUGCC
rnacentral:rRNA from 1 species